rnacentral:lncRNA from 1 species
GUCGUCGCCGCGUGAUUAAACCCGGUGUGACACGGGGGGAAGCCACCCCGGCUGACGUGCCCGGGAUGGAUCGCUCCCCUCCCCUCUCCUCUCCUCCCCCGGCACGGGAUCUUGUGGCCGGUUUGCCACGACGAACGUUUCUUGGCGAUGAGCCGAUGACGGGACGGGACACGGGAGGAUUACUACGACUGCUAGCUCCUGUUCCUGGCUAGCUGCGUAGGUCAUUGAUGGC